rnacentral:rRNA from 1 species
GACGGAGGAUGCAAGCGUUAUCCGGAAUGAUUGGGCGUAAAGCGUCCGCAGGUGGCAGUUCAAGUCUGCUGUCAAAGACCGGGGCUUAACUUCGGAAAGGCAGUGGAAACUGAACAGCUAGAGUAUGGUAGGGGCAGAGGGAAUUCCUGGUGUAGCGGUGAAAUGCGUAGAGAUGUGGAGGAACACCGAUGGCGAAGGCAGCCUCCUGGGCCAGCACUGACGCUCAUGCACGAAAGCGUGGGGAGCAAACAGG